GCACUCUCCCUGGAUGCUGGAGGCUGCUCCGCCGUGGGCAGGAGGAGAAGGAAGAGAACUGGGUGCCGCCUGCCUGCACUCUCUCCGGAUGCUGGAGGCUGGAGGCAGUGAGGCAGCAACAGCGCGAGGGCGAGGCGACUUUGGAGCUGCCUCAUGCAGCGACCUCGCCUUCCGCUGCGCCUCCUCCCAGAACCCAAGAAGCCUGGAACCUGUGGCGUCCAGCCCUGAAAGGAGGAGACGGCAACCCAGCCGCGCGUGAGUCCGGGAGUCUGGGAUACCGGCGGCAGAGGAAGGACAGGCAGGAGUCUCGGCCUCUCGGGGAGCGACGUGCCGGGAAAGGCAGGAGGGCCCCAGCGGUGGGGGCGGGGGUUGCGCGCCGGGGAGGGCGGCCUCAGGCUGGGAGCCUGGCAGAUCGUCUGACUCUCCCCGAGCCCCAUCCCAGGCCGAGCCAGGACCCCUCUGAUGCACAGGCGUCUCAGGAGCCCGUUUCUUUCUUGAAUCCGGGGCCCAGUGCGGCUUGAACCUAGCCCCCGACCUCCUCCUCGCCCUCUCAGAGUCCGCUGGGGUGGGCGCUGAAGGAGCCCGGGUCGGAGAGGAGCCCUCCCCUUCUCUCCUGCGUGGAAGCCCUGCAGCCUCCGUUUCUUUUGGGACUGGGGUCCGGGGCCUUCUGCCUGACCCGGGGUGAGAAAGGGAGCCCUGAUCAGGACCCGGUGAGAGGGCGCUGGAGCCCGGGAGCGGCAGGAGCCUUGAGCGGCAGCCCGGGAAGAGGAUGGGGUCACCUUCUGCCCCAGGUCCCCCACUGCCAGGAUCUCUGUCACCUUCUGGGGGUCCUGUCCCCUGGGGUCCCACCCCCCGGGCUGCCUUUUUGCCUGCACUCUCCCUGGAUGCUGGAGGCUGGAGGCAGUGACGCAGCAACAGCGCGAGGCGACUUUGGAGCGGCCUCAUAUAGCGACCUCGCCUUCCGCUGCGCGUCCUCCCAGAGCCCAAGAAGCCCGGAACCUGUGGCAUCCAUCUCUGAAAGGAGAAGACGGCAACCCAGCCGAGGCACUACUGGGUUGGGGUCUCCACGACCGAGCUGGUCUCAUCAAGUGGCGUCCAACAAGGGGCUCAAACCCGGGUUGAGGGGUUGCUGGAGCGACGGAGAACGUGGAACUACACUGGAGGACACCAGAGUACUCUUAAGCAAUCCCUUGGCCAAAACCAGCAACUGAUUUGGAUACCAUCAAGACACCUGAAAUCUUGUCAUGAGCCAGAUACUGAGGAAGAGAUUUUGGGAAGAACCCAAGGACCCCCCAGUUGCAGCCAUGUCAAGACUGACAAUAAGGAAGACAUCAGUCCCAGCAAGCAACAUUCAUCGGGCACAGCCACCCAUGUGGGGCCAGAUCAAGAAGUUGACACAGAUGGCGGAAGAAAAUCUGAAGAAAGCGGAUGACCAGCUACAAUGAGUAAUCUAAUGUCUGCAGAUGUGGAUCCCGAAUCCUGCGAGAAGUAGCCCACCAUGACGAAGCUGCCUUUGCUUUUAUCGCUUUGCAAAAACAGAAAAGGGGACAUGCUGGGAACAGGCCCUAAGCCUGUCAUAAACAGGCCUUAAACUGACCAUGAACAGGAUUUCUGCACGAAUGUGACGUGCUCCUGAUGGCUAUGACGCCCACUGCUAGAAGUUGUUAGUUUACUGGAGCAGGGUAGGGAACACCUGGCCCACCCGGAGCGGAAAACUGCUCAAACCACAAACAACAGCAUGAGUGGCCUGAGCCUUAACAACAUGUUUUUGCUGCAGAUAAUCGGCCAGAGACUGUUUCUCUACUCCUCUCUAAGUAUGCUUUGUUUUUCGUAAGGAAUGCUUUUAGCUAAUCUGUAACCUAUAGAAACAAUGCUUAUCACUGGCUUGCUGUCAAUAAACAUGUGGGUCAAACUCUGUUUGUGGCUCUCAGCUCUCAAGGCUGUUUUCCCCCUGAUUCCCACUUUGCACUUUAUUUCUGUGUGUUUGUCUUCAUUCCUCUAGCACCACUGGGUUGGGGUCUCCUUGACCAAGCUGGUCUCGGCACAUAUGCAUGUAUGCCCAGGUCCUGAAAUCAGCCUUGUGGAGCCUGUGGGUAGGAAAAGUCAACCCUCUGUGCAUGUAGGCCUGGAACCUGACCAAUACUGUAUUUUCCUACCACGUUUGGUUUCAAAUGUGGAAACUGCCCAUACGGACCUACUGCAUUUGUUUUUAAAAAUCCUCUGUAAGUGGACCUGCACAGUUCAGGCCCAGAUUGUUCCAGGAUCAACCCUACAGUAGAAAUCAAGUAUCUUUUUCAUUGUCUCUUGGGAUCUGCCUUUUCACCAAUAAAAUAUGAGGGCUGUUGGGAGCAGGCCCCCCCAAAUCUGGCCAUAAACUGUCCCCAAAACUGGCCAUAAACAAAAUCUCUGCAGCACUAUAACAUGUUCAUAAUGGCCAUAACGCCCAAGUUGGAAGGUUGUGGAUUUACAGGAAUGAGGGCAAGGAACACCUGGCCUGCCCAGGGUGGAAAACCACUUAAAGGCAUUCUUAAGCCACAAACAAUAGCAUGAGUGAUCUGUGCCUUAAGAACAUGCUCCUGCUGCAGUUAACUAGCCCAACAUAUUCCUUUAAUUCAGUCCAUCCCUUCGUUUCCCAUAAGGGAUACUUUUAGUUAAUUUAAUAUCUAUAGAAAGAAUGCUAAUGACUGGUUUGCUGUUAAUAAAUACGUGGGUAAAUCUCUGUUUGGGGCUCUCAACUCUGAAGGCUGUGAGACCCCUGAUUUCCCACUUGACACCUCUAUA
rnacentral:lncRNA from 1 species